ACGGACAUGGCUGCGGCCCCCGGAGGAGGGGACGUGAAGUGAGGAGGGGGUUGGGAGGGGAGAGGACGCGGGCGAGGAAGACCAGCCCCGGGGCCCCGAUGUUGUGACUGUGACAGACUCACUGGGGUUUGUACAUGCUGGGGAGGAGCCUUCCUUUCAGGGGCGACCACAUUCAUCUGGGCAUGCCUGCAGUACUCUUGGCCCAUGGACCUGAAGGAGAAGCACCUGGGCGAGCCUCCCUCAGCCCUGGGCCUGUCCACGCGGAAGGCCCUCAGCGUCCUGAAGGAGCAGCUGGAGGCAGUGCUGGAAGGACAUCUCAGGGAGCGGAAGAAGUGUCUGACGUGGAAGGUGAAGCUUCUUCUCGGGGCUACCAGGGCCUGGCUGGGAUGGCAGGGAAGUGUGGGAGGCCCCUUCUCAGGACUCUGAUGUACCCUGUCACCCUGGACAGUGUGACCCAACUGAGGCCUCAUGAAAUAUCAGAAAGAAGCCAAGGUUCCCCUCAGAGUGGCUCCUGAGCCUGCUUGCUGCAGGAGCCCAACAGGCUGGAGCCCAGCCGAGGUCAAAGAGAGGGGACCAAGGCG
rnacentral:sRNA from 1 species